rnacentral:tRNA from 1 species
GCGUCCAUGGUGUAGUGGUUGAGCAUGUCUCUUUCCCAAAGAGGAGGUCGCGGGUUCGAACCCCGCUGGUCGCA